CAUGGGCUCAGCACAAGAAAUACACUUAAGAAAGACUGGUUGCUGCCCUCACCGGAGACAGAUACAAAUAGCAACAACAAGGCUAGAAUCAAGCCAUGAACAAACACAUGGGUCACUGACAAGAAAACUCACCUGGAGGCCAAAUUGUCUCUAAUAACAAGUCCAAGACAUGCAUUCCAGCUGGAAUCCUCUUCCCGGGUGGCUGCUGUUUGUGGCAGGAGCAGAGAAUAGCAGGUGGAGGCACAGGCUCAGUGUGGUGUGAAUCCGGAAAGAUCUGGGGGCAUAUCUGGGAGUGGACUCUGUGAAUUUGCUGCCUCCAAGUGCCGGGCUCUCCAAGAGGCACCAGUAAAGGCUGGGUGCACUCAGAUGGACUUCUCUGUGCCAGAAGGGUACCCAUGUGUGAGCACCUCUCAUCACCUCAAUGGCUUUGUAAGGAGAUAAGAUGGUUACCACUACAAUUCUUUCCAUUUUUAAGAUGGAUAAACUGAGGCUUGAACUGUUCAAGUUCAUAUAGCUAGUAAUGGCAGCAAGAUUCAAAUGCAUGGCUGUCUCACCUCAAAGUCCAUUCUUUUUCCAAAAAGCCAAAUGAGGUGGCAGAGGGGAAUAGCAGAAGGAGAUAUAUGGCUUUGGGGGUGGACGGAGAGGGGUUAGGAGUAGAAGGAGGCAGGCACUGGGCAAAGCGUUAAUUUGGAGAGUCGAGUUAUGUAGAAAACUAUUGACGUGGUGAUACAA